CCAGAUCCCAGGCUGAUCCAUCAUCCUCCAGAGAGCAGUGAGACCACCCCAAGAGCUGAGGGACAGCGUGCACCCUCUUCCUGCAGCACAUCUGAGUGGGCUGGUGGCCUCCUGCCUGCUGCAGAGCUGCUUCUGUCAGGAAAACCAGGGUGGAAGCAGUCCAGGGCUGAAUGGAGCAUCAUUCCCCAGCAGCUCAGAGCAGCUGUUGGAGAAGCGAUCAGAAGCAAAGGCAUCGAGGGAGGGCUCUUCCCAUGCAAGUGUCCUCCACAACCCAGCUCAGACCUGCAGAAAUGACCUCAGGAACUCUGGGUUGAGAGAGAAGGAGGAAAAAUGUGACAAGCUCUGCAAUGCCCCUUUGGGAGAAGGGAGCUGA
rnacentral:lncRNA from 1 species